GUACUCUCACACUCUCUGAUCCUUUGGAUUCGGGGAGCGGUGGACUUGGGUGUUUGCUGCUUUUCGUUGUGGCUCACCUCAAAUGCGUUAGUGCACCUCUUGGUUGGACAUAGUACGGCGUGAUAAGUAUCUUCGCCGGCACCUCGCGAGAGGGUGGCCGAUCGAGAGCUCUGUGCUUUCCAACCGUCUUCGGACAACAUCUGACA
rnacentral:misc_RNA from 1 species